rnacentral:rRNA from 1 species
UAGAGUUUGAUCCUGGCUCAGGAUGAACGCUGGCGGCGUGCCUAACACAUGCAAGUCGAGCGGGGUUUACGGAGCAGCUUGCUGCACUGUAAACCUAGCGGCGGACGGGUGAGUAACGCGUGGGCAACCUGCCUUACACAGGGGGAUAACACUGGGAAACUAGUGCUAAUACCGCAUAACAUCAUUUUAUGGCAUCAUGAGAUGAUCAAAGGAGCAAUCCGGUGUAAGAUGGGCCCGCGUCCGAUUAGCUAGUUGGUGAGGUAACGGCUCACCAAGGCAGCGAUCGGUAGCCGAACUGAGAGGUUGGUCGGCCACAUUGGGACUGAGACACGGCCCAGACUCCUACGGGAGGCAGCAGUGGGGAAUAUUGCACAAUGGGCGCAAGCUUGAUGCAGCGACGCCGCGUGAGGGAUGAGGGCCUUCGGGUUGUAAACCUCUUUCGCUGGGUUGAAAGGCCAUGCUUUGGGUGUGGUUGAUUUGAACUGGUAAAGAAGUACCGGCUAACUACGUGCCAGCAGCCGCGGUAAUACGUAGGGUACUAGCGUUGUCCGGAUUUAUUGGGCGUAAAGGGCUUGUAGGUGGUUUGUCGCGUCUGUCGUGAAAUCCUGUGGCUUAACCAUGGGCUUGCGGUGGGUACGGGCAGGCUUGAGUGCGGUAGGGGAGACUGGAAUUCCUGGUGUAGCGGUGGAAUGCGCAGAUAUCAGGAGGAACACCGGUGGCGAAGGCGGGUCUCUGGGCCGUUACUGACGCUGAGGAGCGAAAGCGUGGGGAGCGAACAGGAUUAGAUACCCUGGUAGUCCAUGCUGUAAACGUUGGGCACUAGGUGUGGGGACCUUGUGGUUUCUGCGCCGUAGCUAACGCAUUAAGUGUCCCGCCUGGGGAGUACGGCCGCAAGGCUAAAACUCAAAGGAAUUGACGGGGACCCGCACAAGCGGCGGAGCAUGCGGAUUAAUUCGAUGCAACGCGAAGAACCUUACCAAGGCUUGACAUGCACCGGUACAGUGUAGAGAUAUGCUGGCCUUUUUUGGCUGGUGUGCAGGUGGUGCAUGGUUGUCGUCAGCUCGUGUCGUGAGAUGUUGGGUUAAGUCCCGCAACGAGCGCAACCCUUGUCUCGUGUUGCCAGCAUUUGGUUGGGGACUCUCGGGAGACUGCCGGGGUUAACUCGGAGGAAGGUGGGGAUGACGUCAAAUCAUCAUGCCCCUUAUGUCUUGGGCUUCACGCAUGCUACAAUGGAUGGUACAGAGGGUUGCGAUACUGUGAGGUGGAGCUAAUCCCUUAAAGCUGUUCUCAGUUCGGAUCGUAGUCUGCAACUCGACUACGUGAAGGUGGAGUCGCUAGUAAUCGCAGAUCAGCAACGCUGCGGUGAAUACGUUCUCGGGUCUUGUACACACCGC